UUUAAUUGAUGUUUUCAUUAGGGGAACUAAUACACGAUGCAUUCUUAUUCCCUCACAAGAUUUUAUCUCAAUGAAUUUUCAUUUGUAAGAUUUUUAAUGAGGCAUCAAAAAUGCGUAUGAAGCAUACUAUCUAUCAAAUAGACAUUCAAGGAGGAAUGUUACAAAUGUAUUUGUAUUAUUGUGAAUGUCUAUUUUGUAUGUAUCUUUUAGAGAAAAGUUAGGUAGGAC
rnacentral:lncRNA from 1 species